rnacentral:rRNA from 1 species
GGCUAAACUCAGGCCCUCUUUAAAAUACCAUCUUCUGAUCUCAGAAGCUAAGCAGGUUUGGGCCUGGUUAGUUCUUGGAAGGGAGACCACCUAGGAAGACCAGGUGCUGUAGGCA